GGGCCUAUCGGUUAAUUGGUAAACCACUGGUUUCCAAAACCAGGACUGCAGGUUCGAGUCCUGCUGGGCCCG
rnacentral:tRNA from 1 species